UCGACUGAUGAGACUAAUGAGAAUAAUGUUUUAUGGCGUAUAGACUAUGGUCUACCGAUUAAAUAUGCCAACGAACUAAAUUUCGAUUAGAAAUAAUCGAAAACGUCUUCCUUUGUCAAUGCCAAAGAUAGUAGAUUUGAAUAACCAGUUGGACACAUUUGUUUGAAGUUGUGGAUCUUUAGACACUGGAGCAACUCUCGUUGUGUCAUGAUGGCUGGCUUCUUUGUGGAGACGGUUGUUGUCACAGAAAGGAGCGAGGACAAGUCACACAUAAGGCACGUGUUCCAGUGCGGCCCCUGGCUGGACUCGCACAACGGUAACUGCCACAUGGAGACGAUGCUGAGAAUGAUUGGUUGCUCAUGUACGGUGACUGUGAAGACUAGCGAGGGUAAAAGGACGGCCACCACAGGGAAGGUUUAAAUCACCAUGUAUGGCACCAGUGGCCACACUGCAGCCCUCCUCCUCUCAUCUUUAGACCCUGGGACUCUGGCAUUCACUUUCGGGGCCAAGUCUGAGUUCCAUAUCAGCACCGGGCAGGUUUGCCGAGUAACCAAGAUCCGACUAGAAUGUGACAACUCUGGCUCUAAACCUGACUGGAGGCUUGAUUAUGUGUGAAUGUAUGAUGAGGAUAGCAGUGAUAAGCUUAUGUACUUCGUCGACCACUGGCUUGCCCUUGACAAAGUUGAUGGUUCAAUCUGUAGAGGACUACCAGCAGUACGUAAAGGCACCCCUAGCCUGCCAGUGUUACGCUAUGUGGUUGCUGUGACAACAGGAAGUUGGAUGCUGGAGUGGACAGUGCAAAUUUUUAUACUCAAUCUGAUUGGUGUAGAUGGAGAUAUUGGCUUGAGGGAGGGUACCUCACUGGAGCCAUUUCUAAAAGUUGAUUCCCUUGGCAGCCUGGACAAACUGACAUAUUCAUUGUUGAAGCCGUUUCUGUUGGGAAAAAAAUGAAAAUGAAGUGACCUUCGGCAGUCUUGAUCAGAUCAAGAGAGCAUCAUGGAGAAACACCAGAGAAAGGGAAUUCAAGACAAAAAACACCAAAGGAUGUGCUUUCAAAGAAAGGUAAAAAAAGGCUGCAAAACAUGAAAGAAAAGAAUGAAACCCUAGUGCAGUUCUUGAUGUCUAAGGAAGUCAAGGCCAACCUACUGAUUAUAUGCAAGGCAAACAGGCAAGCAAUCUUUACACUAUCUUCACUGGGCUGUCACAGAGAGCCAAGAGAGCCAUACAACAUAGCGGAUUUGGUCCUAUUGAUGAUGAUGAACAGGUGUGAGGUGCACUAAGGAGGAGAUUGAGGUCAUCAUUCAUAAGGAGUUUCAGAGCUAUCGAAAGGAGCUACCAAAGUGAAUCCAUUUCAUGAUUAAUGUCGUAAUUUCCCUUUUUAACGGAGAGUGAAACUCAAGGAGGAUUUAAACCAGUUAAUAGCGUCAAACCUCACGCUUGCCGGGCACCAAAAAUAUUAAAGGAAUGAUCUUUUGUGCAUUAUUUGCAGUGAAAUCAUUUUACAUUUAUCGAUGCUAAGGGAAUCAGUUUCUUACAUUUCAAAAAUGUAUUUAUUUUGUCUUUGCUCAUUGACAUAUAUUACCUAUUUUUCGGCAUGAAAUUUGAUUUUUUCUUAAAUCGUCUAUUUGUUGUUGCAUGUUUGCAUGGUUUAUAUGACAAUAAACACCAUGCAUAAUUGUUUA